GACGUAGGGCGCGAGCGUUGUCCGGAUUUAUUGGGCGUAAAGAGCUCGUAGGCGGCUUGUCGCGUCGACCGUGAAAACCCACAGCUCAACUGUGGGCUUGCGGUCGAUACGGGCAGGCUAGAGUUCGGUAGGGGAGACUGGAAUUCCUGGUGUAGCGGUGAAAUGCGCAGAUAUCAGGAGGAACACCGGUGGCGAAGGCGGGUCUCUGGGCCGAUACUGACGCUGAGGAGCGAAAGCGUGGGGAGCGAACAGG
rnacentral:rRNA from 1 species